CAUCUUUGUCUUUUCGCUAACUUGAUUGAUACUGUCAAUGAAAACAGUUUAAGUUUAAGAGCCUGUAAAUUAAUAAUUCACCAGUGCCGGUAUGUGAAAAAUGUGUCUAGACAAGAUGAAAAAUUCAAAUUUUAAAGUAAAGAAUUCAAAGAUGUGUAUGACAUGAUGCGAAACACUCAUUACG